GACGAACGCUGGCGGCGUGCUUAACACAUGCAAGUCGAACGGAAAGGCCCUGCUUUUGUGGGGUGCUCGAGUGGCGAACGGGUGAGUAACACGUGAGUAACCUGCCCUUGACUUUGGGAUAACUUCAGGAAACUGGGGCUAAUACCGGAUAGGAGCUCCUGCUGCAUGGUGGGGGUUGGAAAGUUUCGGCGGUUGGGGAUGGACUCGCGGCUUAUCAGCUUGUUGGUGGGGUAGUGGCUUACCAAGGCUUUGACGGGUAGCCGGCCUGAGAGGGUGACCGGCCACAUUGGGACUGAGAUACGGCCCAGACUCCUACGGGCGGCAGCAGUGGGGAAUAUUGCAAAAUGGGCGGAAGCCUGAUGCAGCAACGCCGCGUGCGGGAUGACGGCCUUCGGGUUGUAAACCGCUUUCGCCUGUGACGAAGCGUGAGUGACGGUAAUGGGUAAAGAAGCACCGGCUAACUACGUG
rnacentral:rRNA from 1 species